UAGGCAUCGAUUCCUAGAUUCUCUUGGCCC
rnacentral:piRNA from 1 species